rnacentral:rRNA from 1 species
UACGAAGGGGGCUAGCGUUGCUCGGAAUCACUGGGCGUAAAGGGUGCGUAGGCGGGUCUUUUAAGUCAGGGGUGAAAUCCUGGAGCUCAACUCCAGAACUGCCUUUGAUACUGAGAAGCUUGAGUCCGGGAGAGGUGAGUGGAACUGCGAGUGUAGAGGUGAAAUUCGUAGAUAUUCGCAAGAACACCAGUGGCGAAGGCGGCUCACUGGCCCGGUACUGACGCUGAGGUGCGAAAGCGUGGGGAGCGAACAGG